rnacentral:rRNA from 1 species
CACGUAGGCACCAAGCGUUGUCCGGAUUUAUUGGGCGUAAAGAGCUCGUAGGCGGUUCGGUAAGUCGGGUGUGAAACUCUGGGCUCAACCCAGAGCCGCCACCCGAUACUGCUGUGACUUGAGUUCGGUAGGGGAGCGGGGAAGUUCCUGGUGUAGCGGUGAAAUGACGCAGAGUAUCAGGAGGAACACCGGUGGCGAAGGCGGGUCUCUGGGCCGAUACUGACGCUGAGGAGCGAAAGCGUGGGGAGCGAACAGG